rnacentral:rRNA from 1 species
UACAGAGGUCUCAAGCGUUGUUCGGAUUCAUUGGGCGUAAAGGGUGCGUAGGCGGCGGGGCAAGUCUGAUGUGAAAUCCCGGGGCUCAACCCCGGAACUGCAUUGGAUACUGCCUUGCUUGAGUACUGGAGAGGGAACUGGAAUUUACGGUGUAGCAGUGAAAUGCGUAGAGAUCGUAAGGAAGGCCGGUGGCGAAGGCGAGUCUCUGGACAGUUACCGACGCUGAGGCACGAAGGUCAGGGGAGCAAACGGG